GUCCUUAUUCUGUGUUAGUUUACACAAGUAUAGGCUGUUUCGGUUUUUGUUACGUUUAGUGUGUUUGUCAUUAAACAUGGAUCGCAAUCUACACGCUGCAUUUUGGUCCGACUAUCCUUCACACCUAGAGAACCGUAACAACCUCUUCAUGAUGGACAGAUGUUAAGCGGCAGCUGUAAGCGAUGUCUGAUUGCAAAAGUAAGACCAUCGCUGAAGCAAAGACCGUUCUAACGAGUUCUGCAGAGUUAUUCAAGGAAGGAAAGAGAGGAAGGCUCCACACUACUCUCUCACUUGAGUAUCCUACCUAGUUAUUUAUAGAUCAUCUCAUUUUGCUCUUUUGUAGCUUUGGCAACUGUUUUCUAUCCCAGUUUGCUCCCUUCCCUGUAGGCUUUACAGAUGCUCCACACCCCUUGGCUGCAAUCUUUGUAAUUUAGUGUGCCUUACGUGCAUAACCCAUGUGGAUUUCCAGGUCUCCAGCAGCAAUUGGAACUGCCAAUCUGCAGUCAAGAACAAAGCGCUCAUGUCAGCCUAUUCUGCAUUUCAGUCCCUUGACUUUUUGGCCCUGAUGGAGACAUGAAUCACCCCAGAGAACACCACUACUCCAGCUGCUCUCUCCACCUGACUACGUUUUCUCUUAGUCAGAGAGCAUCUGGUCGUUGAGGUGGUGGCACAGGGCUACUCAUUCCUCCUAAGUGGAGAUUUUCUUUUUACUCCCUCUCUCACCUGUCCUUUUCCUCAUUUCAAUUCCAUUCUGUCACUAGUUCACUCAAGCAUAAUGUUGUUGUCAUUUAUGGACCACCAAAUCCCCUUAGAGUUCCUCAAUAUAAGCUCAUUUCCUGACGAUGGCUCACCGCUCUUCGUACUUGGUGACUUCAACCUCCUGACGUCUGCCUUCAAUUAAUUUCUUUCCAACUCUUUCCCCUCCUUGCCUCUUGACCUAUCCCUUCACCAGUCCCCUCCCACUCACAAGGCAGGCAAUACCGCCCCUCCAGGUCUCUGAUCACUACUUUGUUUCCCUUUCUUCCUUCCUCCCUCUCCUCCAACCCUAGCCACUCAACCCCAAAUCCAGAUUGUGACGGCACAUUACUAUCUUCCCUCUCUCUCACUACUCUCUCUCCUAUCCCCUCUCCCUUCUGCUAAUCCUUCUUUGCUGUCUCCUGAUUCUGGCUCUUCAACACUACUCUCUUCCCUCUAACCCUAGGAAACUAUUUUCCACCUUUUUCUCCCUCCUUAAUCCUCCCCUCUCUCUCUGCAGACAACUUUGUCAACCACUUUGAAAAGAAGGUUGACAUCUGCUUCUCACUCAGCUUGAGUUCACUGGUCCCACUCACACAGAACUACCCUACACCUUGACCCAUUCUCUCUCCAAAUGAAAUUCUGCGACUAGUGAGGUCUGGCUGCCCAACAAUCUGCCCGCCCGACCACAUCUACUUCUCCCUUCUCCAGACCAUCUUUGGACCUUCUCCCAUUCCUCACUUACUUCAGCAACUCAUCGCUGACCACUGGCUACAUCCCCUCUGACAUGAAAAUGGCCGGAGUCGCUUCCCCUCAAGAAACCAACACUUGACUCCUCUGACAUCAAACUACAGACUGGUAUCCCUUUCUUUUCUUUCCAAAACACUUGAGCAUGCGGCCUCUGACCAACUCUCUCUGUCUCUCUCAGAAUAUUCUUGACCCAAAUCAGUCAGGCUUCAAGACGGGUCACUCAACCGAGACUGCUCUUCUGUGUUACGGAAGCUCUCUGCUCUUCCAAAGCUGACUCUUUCUCCUCUGUUCUCGUCCUCUUAGAUCUACCCGCUGCCUUCGACACCGUGAACUAGCAGAUCCUUCUCUCCACCCUCUCAGGGCUGGGAGUCUCAGGCUCUGCGCACUCUUGGAUUGCAUCCUACGCUAUAUAUACAAAAGUAUGUGGACAGCCCUUCAAAUUUGUGUAUUUGGCUAAUUCAGCCACACCUGUUGCUGUCAGGUAUAUAAUAUCGAGCACACAGCCAUGCAAUCUCUAUAGACAAACAUUGACAGUAGAAUGGCCUUACUGAAGAGCUCAGUGAGUUUCAACAUGGCACCGUCAUAGGAUGCUACCUUUCCAUACAAGUCAGUUCAUCAAAUUUCUGACCUGCAUGAGUAAGUGCUGUUAUUGUGAAGCGGAAAUGUCUAUGUGCAACAACGGCUUAGCCUCGAAGUGGCAGGCCACACAAGCUCACAGAACGGGACCGCCGAGUGCUGAAGCACAUACAAAUCAUCUAUCCUCAGUUAUAACACUCACUACCGAGUUCCAAACCUCUUCUGGAAGCAAUGUCAGCACAAGAACUGUUCGUCGGGAGCUUCAUGAAAUGGGUUUCCAUAGCCGCACACAAGCCUAAAAUCACUAAUGCGCAAUGCCAAGCUUCAGCUGGAGUGGUGUAAAGCUUGCCGGCAUUGGACUCUGGUGCAAUGGAAAUGUGCACGAUCUGUGUUUGCACCAUGUACUCUCACGACUGGUGUCCUCCAGGGCUCAGUUCAAGGCCCUCUUCUCUCUAUACUCCAAGUCACUCGGCUCCGUUAUAUACUCACAUGGUCUCUCCUAUCAUUGCUAUGCGGAUGACACUCAACUACUUUUCUCCUUUCCCCCUUCUGACAUCCAGGUGGUAACAUGCAUCUCUGCGUGUCUGGCAGAUAUCUCAGCUUGAAUGUCGUUCCACCACCUCAAGCUCAACCUCGACAAGAUGGAGCUGCUCUUCCUCCCAAGGAAGGCCUGCCAGAUCAAAGACCUCUCCAUCAAAGUUGACAACUCCAUGGUGUUCCCCUCUCAGAGUGCAAAGAACAUUUUUUUAUUUAAAAAAAAUAUAUAUAUUUUAAAUUUAAC
ensembl:lncRNA